GAUGAACGCUGGCGGCGUGCCUAAUACAUGCAAGUCGAGCGAACAGACGAUGAGCUUGCUCCUUUGACGUUUGCGGCGGACGGGUGUGUAACACGUGUAUCACCUACCUCUUUUUCUGGGAUAACUUCGGGAAUCCGGAGCUAAUACCGGAUCAUAUCUUGAACCGUUUGGUUCAAUAGUGAUUGUCGGUUUUUCUGUCUCUUUUAGCUGGUUCCGGGCCGCAUUAGCUAGUUGGUAAGGUAACGGCUUACCAAGGCGACGAUGCGUAGCCGACCUGAGAGGGUGAUCGGCCACACUGGAACUGAGACACGGUCCAGACUACUAAGGGAGGCAGCAGUAGGGAAUAGUAGGCAAUGGGCGAAAGCAUGACGGAGCAAGGCCGAGUGAGUGAUGAAGGUCUUCGGAUCGUAAAACUCUGUUAUGAGGGAAGAACAAAUGUGGAAGAAAAUAAGGACGUAUUGACGGUACCUAAAAAAAAAGCAACGGCUAACUACGUG
rnacentral:rRNA from 1 species